rfam:Pichia kudriavzevii strain SD108 scaffold00057, whole genome shotgun sequence.
AGGUCUAUAGUUUAAUGGUAAAACAAUAGCCUUCAAAGCUAUAUUUAAGAGUUCAAGUCUUUUUAGACCUG